rnacentral:rRNA from 1 species
GACGAACGCUGGCGGUGUGCUUAACACAUGCAAGUCGAACGGAAAGGCCCUGCUUUUGUGGGGUGCUCGAGUGGCGAACGGGUGAGUAACACGUGAGUAACCUGCCCUUGACUUUGGGAUAACUUCAGGAAACUGGGGCUAAUACCGGAUAGGAGCUCCUGCUGCAUGGUGGGGGUUGGAAAGUUUCGGCGAUUGGGGAUGGACUCGCGGCUUAUCAGCUUGUUGGUGGGGUAGUGGCUUACCAAGGCUUUGACGGGUAGCCGGCCUGAGAGGGUGACCGGCCACAUUGGGACUGAGAUACGGCCCAGACUCCUACGGGAGGCAGCAGUGGGGAAUAUUGCACAAUGGGCGGAAGCCUGAUGCAGCAACGCCGCGUGCGGGAUGACGGCCUUCGGGUUGUAAACCGCUUUCGCCUGUGACGAAGCGUGAGUGACGGUAAUGGGUAAAGAAGCACCGGCUAACUACGUG